UAAUACGGAGGGUGCAAGCGUUAUCCGGAUUCACUGGGUUUAAAGGGUGUGUAGGCGGAUAUUUAAGUCAGUGGUGAAAUCUCCAGGCUCAACCUGGAAACUGCCAUUGAUACUAUUUAUCUUGAAUUCUGUUGAGGUGGGCGGAAUACAUCAUGUAGCGGUGAAAUGCUUAGAUAUGAUGUAGAACACCGAUUGCGAAGGCAGCUCACUAAGCAGACAUUGACGCUGAGGCACGAAAGCGUGGGGAUCAAACAGGAUUAGAUACCCUGGUAGUCCACGCCCUAAACGAUGAUUACUCGACAUACGCGAUACACAGUGUGUGUCUGAGCGAAAGCAUUAAGUAAUCCACCUGGGAAGUACGACCGCAAGGUUG
rnacentral:rRNA from 1 species